UACGGGGGGGGUAAGCGUUGUUCGGAAUUACUGGGCGUAAAGGGCUCGUAGGCGGCCAACUAAGUCCGACGUGAAAUCCCCAGGCUUAACCUGGGAACUGCGUCGGAUACUGGAUGGCUUGAAUUCGGGAGAGGGAUGCAGAAUUCCAGGUGUAGCGGUGAAAUGCGUAGAUAUCUGGAGGAAUACCGGUGGCGAAGGCGGCAUCCUGGACCGACAUUGACGCUGAGGAGCGAAAGCUAGGGGAGCAAACGGG
rnacentral:rRNA from 1 species